rnacentral:snoRNA from 1 species
GAAAUUCCAGGAUGGAAUCUGGAACACAGCUGGUGCCCAGCCAGCUUAAGAGGUGGAGAUAAAACAAACCUGUCAGAGACCCACUCCAUUUCCAGGAUGCUCUGUAACUGGUGAUUGGACAAUACUCUGUGACCUUG